UCCGGCAAUAACGUGAACGGUGCCCUUCCGCUAGUCUGCGGGAGGGUGAAACGGGAAGCCGGUGACGCGCGGGAUGUCCAUCCCCGCCAGUCCGGCGCAGCCCCCGCUGCUGUAGGCCCGACGACCCUGGACGACCGCCACUGUGCAUCCGCACGGGAAGGCAAGGACAGGGAAGGAUGAAGGCAAGCCAGAAGACCGGCCGCUCGCGAUGCACAUUG
rnacentral:ncRNA from 2 species